GUCUGUGAAUGUUUUAGGUGCUUUUUGAUGCUGAUUAAUUAUUGCACCAUUUUUUAAAUUGAUUUUUUUUUUAGGUUCAUGGUGAUACAGGUUAACUUUGAGGUUCAUGCAGAUGGUGUUUAAAACUAUCAGUCAGGAAAAACAAACUCAUUUGAACACAGCUUGAGUCUUCAUAUAUAAAAUGAUGGCAGUGCUUUUAAUAUGUUCAUGGUGAUACAGGUUAACUUUGAGGUUCAUGCAGAUGGUGUUUAAAACUAUCAGUCAGGAAAAACAAACUCAUUUGAACACAGCUUGAGUCUUCAUAUAUAAAAUGAUGGCAGUGCUUUUAAUAUGUUCAUGGUGAUACAGGUUAACUUUGAGGUUCAUGCAGAUGGUGUUUAAAACUAUCAGUCAGGAAAAACAAACUCAUUUGAACACAGCUUGAGUCUUCAUAUAUAAAAUGAUGGCAGUGCUUUUAAUAUGUUCAUGGUGAUACAGGUUAACUUUGAGGUUCAUGCAGAUGGUGUUUAAAACUAUCAGUCAGGAAAAACAAACUCAUUUGAACACAGCUUGAGUCUUCAUAUAUAAAAUGAUGGCAGUGCUUUUAAUAUGUUCAUGGUGAUACAGGUUAACUUUGAGGUUCAUGCAGAUGGUGUUUAAAACUAUCAGUCAGGAAAAACAAACUCAUUUGAACACAGCUUGAGUCUUCAUAUAUAAAAUGAUGGCAGUGCUUUUAAUAUGUUCAUGGUGAUACAGGUUAACUUUGAGGUUCAUGCAGAUGGUGUUUAAAACUAUCAGUCAGGAAAAACAAACUCAUUUGAACACAGCUUGAGUCUUCAUAUAUAAAAUGAUGGCAGUGCUUUUAAUAUGUUCAUGGUGAUACAGGUUAACUUUGAGGUUCAUGCAGAUGGUGUUUAAAACUAUCAGUCAGGAAAAACAAACUCAUUUGAACACAGCUUGAGUCUUCAUAUAUAAAAUGAUGGCAGUGCUUUUAAUAUGUUCAUGGUGAUACAGGUUAACUUUGAGGUUCAUGCAGAUGGUGUUUAAAACUAUCAGUCAGGAAAAACAAACUCAUUUGAACACAGCUUGAGUCUUCAUAUAUAAAAUGAUGGCAGUGCUUUUAAUAUGUUCAUGGUGAUACAGGUUAACUUUGAGGUUCAUGCAGAUGGUGUUUAAAACUAUCAGUCAGGAAAAACAAACUCAUUUGAACACAGCUUGAGUCUUCAUAUAUAAAAUGAUGGCAGUGCUUUUAAUAUAGGUUAACGCAGACAGACGCAUUUUGCCGGAAAACGAAUCUGACAUGCCACCUCGAGAUUUUAACCAAGGAAAGACAACUUGAUGUGCUUUGAUUUGAGGGGUCACUCAAUGCUGAACGAAAAUUAGGGACAUUGCUAUGUGAAGAAAUGUUAACAUUGCCG